GAAAGAAGAAAAACAAUACGGUAAAGAAAGAAGAGGAAGAAGAGGACGCCAUCAGCCGGUAAAGAAGAAAAAGACGGCAAAUGAUCGCGAGCAAAAAAGACGAAACUACUGUGGUAAGACAGAAAGCGCAAGAGAAGCGCAGAGACGGGAGGUUAGUGGGGGUCGGAAAAGAGAGCUAAUGAGCUCGACGACGCGGCGCCAGUCGUCGAGUCGCCGUGUUACUACGAGUACUUGCUCUCUCAUCGUGGCUUGCUGCGUCCCCAUUUGAAAAGGGUCGUGUCCUGUCUCUGUCAGUAGGGGUUGCAGACCCGUGGCAAACCCGUCGGUUGUCUUGAUAAUCAGUGUUCGAGAUUGAGGUCGCCUAGACACGAGUUUAUGGAUUCUCAAAUACAGUGGCUGUGCACAGCUAUUAUAAUCGGAUGAAUCGUUCAUUGGCGGUGAUCGUCUCGAUUGGAAAUUCGGCUCAAAUUUGUGACAAUAAUUGCUUUUGUAGAAGCAAUGCACAUCGAGAAAAUUGUUCGGUAAUUGUGUGUCGCAGAUAAUGUUAUAAGAGAAUAAUGUUUUCUCAGGAGACAGUAACGCGCGAGCGAUCGGGCGCGUCUUUGCAGGUCGAGGACCUUUCGGUUU